rnacentral:rRNA from 1 species
GGGGGGGCGGGUGCCUAUACAUGCAAGUCGAGCGAACAGACGAGGAGCUUGCUCCUCUGACGUUAGCGGCGGACGGGUGAGUAACACGUGGAUAACCUACCUAUAAGACUGGGAUAACUUCGGGAAACCGGAGCUAAUACCGGAUAACAUGUUGAACCGCAUGGUUCAACAGUGAAAGACGGUCUUGCUGUCACUUAUAGAUGGAUCCGCGCCGCAUUAGCUAGUUGGUAAGGUAACGGCUUACCAAGGCAACGAUGCGUAGCCGACCUGAGAGGGUGAUCGGCCACACUGGAACUGAGACACGGUCCAGACUCCUACGGGAGGCAGCAGUAGGGAAUCUUCCGCAAUGGGCGAAAGCCUGACGGAGCAACGCCGCGUGAGUGAAGAAGGUCUUCGGAUCGUAAAACUCUGUUAUUAGGGAAGAACAAAUGUGUAAGUAACUAUGCACGUCUUGACGGUACCUAAUCAGAAAGCCACGGCUAACUACGUGCCAGCAGCCGCGGUAAUACGUAGGUGGCAAGCGUUAUCCGGAAUUAUUGGGCGUAAAGCGCGCGUAGGCGGUUUUUUAAGUCUGAUGUGAAAGCCCACGGCUCAACCGUGGAGGGUCAUUGGAAACUGGAAAACUUGAGUGCAGAAGAGGAAAGUGGAAUUCCAUGUGUAGCGGUGAAAUGCGCAGAGAUAUGGAGGAACACCAGUGGCGAAGGCGACUUUCUGGUCUGUAACUGACGCUGAUGUGCGAAAGCGUGGGGAUCAAACAGGAUUAGAUACCCUGGUAGUCCACGCCGUAAACGAUGAGUGCUAAGUGUUAGGGGGUUUCCGCCCCUUAGUGCUGCAGCUAACGCAUUAAGCACUCCGCCUGGGGAGUACGACCGCAAGGUUGAAACUCAAAGGAAUUGACGGGGACCCGCACAAGCGGUGGAGCAUGUGGUUUAAUUCGAAGCAACGCGAAGAACCUUACCAAAUCUUGACAUCCUCUGACCCCUCUAGAGAUAGAGUUUUCCCCUUCGGGGGACAGAAUGACAGGUGGUGCAUGGUUGUCGUCAGCUCGUGUCGUGAGAUGUUGGGUUAAGUCCCGCAACGAGCGCACCCUUAAGCUUAUUGCCUCAUUAAUUGGGCCUCUAAUUGACUGCCGUGACAACCGGAAGAAGUGGGGAUGACUCAAUCAUCAGCCCUUAGAUUGGGCUACCCCUGCUACAUGGACAAAACAAGGGUACCAAACCGCGGUCAGCAAUCCCAAAAUUGUUCCAUUCGGAUGGAUCCGCACCCCCACUGAACUGGAACCCUUAAACGAAAAACAAGCCCGGGAAAAUUCCGGGUUUGAACCCCCCCCCCCCAAAGUUUUAACCCAACCGGGGAAC